rnacentral:rRNA from 1 species
GAACGUCGUGAGACAGUUCGGUCCCUAUCCUCCGCGGGCGCAAGGGAACUGAGGAGAGCUGCCCCUAGUACGAGAGGACCGGGGUGGACGCACCUCCGGUGGCGCGGUUGUCGACCAACGGCACGGCCGCCUGGCCGCGUGCGGCGCGGAUAACCGCUGAAGGCAUCUAAGCGGGAAGCCGCCUCCGAGAUGAGUUCCCUCUCCGGUAAGGGCCCUGGCAGAACACCAGGUCGAUAGGCCGCAGCUGCAAGCGCCGCGAGGCGCUCAGGCGAGCGGCACUAACAGCCCGAGCUCUUCACCCC